UGAACGCUGGCGGUAUGCUUAACACAUGCAAGUCGAACGGAAACGAUACUAGCUUGCUAGUAGGCGUCGAGUGGCGGACGGGUGAGUAACGCGUAGGAAUCUGCCUGAUAGUGGGGGAUAGCCCGAAGAAAUUCGGAUUAAUACCGCAUAAUCUAUUCGUAGUAAAGUGGGGGACUUUCGAGCCUCACGCUAUCAGAUGAGCCUGCGUAAGAUUAGCUUGUUGGUAGGGUAAAAGCCUACCAAGGCGACGAUCUUUAGCUGGUCUGAGAGGAUGAUCAGCCACAUCGGGACUGAGACACGGCCCGAACUCCUACGGGAGGCAGCAGUGGGGAAUAUUGGACAAUGGGGGCAACCCUGAUCCAGCAAUACCGCGUGUGUGAAGAAGGCCUGAGGGUUGUAAAGCACUUUCAAUUGUGAAGAAAAGUUAGCGGUUAAUAACCGUUAGCCUUGACGUUAACUUUAGAAGAAGCACCGGCUAACUCCGUGCCAGCAGCCGCGGUAAUACGGAGGGUGCAAGCGUUAAUCGGAAUUACUGGGCGUAAAGCGUGCGUAGGCGGUUUAUUAAGUCAGAUGUGAAAGCCCCGGGCUUAACCUGGGAACUGCAUUUGAAACUGGUCAACUAGAGUAUGGUAGAGGAAAGUGGAAUUUCUGGUGUAGCGGUGAAAUGCGUAGAUAUCAGAAGGAACAUCAAUGGCGAAGGCAGCUUUCUGGACCAAUACUGACGCUGAGGUACGAAAGCGUGGGUAGCAAACAGGAUUAGAUACCCUGGUAGUCCACGCCGUAAACGAUGAUAACUAGCCGUUGGGGGGAUUUACCCUUUAGUGGCGAAGCUAACGCGUUAAGUUAUCCGCCUGGGGAGUACGGCCGCAAGGUUAAAACUCAAAGGAAUUGACGGGGACCCGCACAAGCGGUGGAGCAUGUGGUUUAAUUCGAUGCAACGCGAAGAACCUUACCUGGUCUUGACAUCCUGCGAACUUUCUAGAAAUAGAUUGGUGCCUUCGGGAACGCAGUGACAGGUGCUGCAUGGCUGUCGUCAGCUCGUGUCGUGAGAUGUUGGGUUAAGUCCCGUAACGAGCGCAACCCCUAUCCUUAUUUGCCAGCACAUCAUGGUGGGAACUAUAAGGAGACCGCCGGUGAUAAACCGGAGGAAGGCGGGGACGACGUCAAGUCAUCAUGGCCCUUACGACCAGGGCUACACACGUGCUACAAUGGGAAGGACAAAGAGCCGCGAAGCCGCGAGGUGUAGCUAAUCUCAUAAACCUUUUCGUAGUCCGGAUUGGAGUCUGCAACUCGACUCCAUGAAGUCGGAAUCGCUAGUAAUCGUAGAUCAGAAUGCUACGGUGAAUACGUUCCCGGGUCUUGUACACACCGCC
rnacentral:rRNA from 1 species